rnacentral:tRNA from 1 species
GGGGAUGUGAUGUAGUGGUUAGCAUGUUUGUUUUGCAAGCAAAAAGUCACGAGUUCGAUACUGUAAAUUCUCGUUAUCUCCA